rnacentral:rRNA from 1 species
GACGAACGCUGGCGGCGUGCUUAACACAUGCAAGUCGAACGGAAAGGCCCUGCGUUUGUGGGGUUCUCGAGUGGCGAACGCGUGAGUAACACGUGAGUAACCUGCCCUUGACUUUGGGAUAACUUCAGGAAACUGGGGCUAAUACCGGAUAGGAUCUCCUGCUGCAUGGUGGGGGUUGGAAAGUUUCGGCUGUUGGGGUUGGACUCGCGGGUUAUCAGCUUGUUGGUGGGGUAGUGGCUUACCAAGGCUUUGACGGGUAGCCGGCCUGGGAGGGUGAACGGCCACCUUGGUACUGAGAUACGGCGCAGAGGGCUACGGUAGGCAGAAGUGGGGAACAUUGUACAAUGGGCGGAAGUCGGAUGCAGCAACGCUGCGUGCGGGAUGACGGCUUUCGGGUUGUAAACAGCUUUAGCCUGUGACGAAGCGUGAGUGACGGUAAUGGGUAAAGAAGCACCGGCUAACUACGUG